UUCGGAGGGGAGUAAAAAUGCAGCUGCGGCCCCGGCUCGAGCUCCUCGGCCUGGUGGUUCUUCUGCACGCGGCGGCUUUGCAACCGGCCGCCUCUUGGCUGCAAUAGCUUCGCAGCCUUGCUCUGCGCACACAUUUUCUGCGGAGCGGGGGGAAAAAGGAGUGUUUGUCUAUGGAUAUAACCUGUUCUGAGGGACCGGCUUGAAGCCAUCCAGCUCCCGGGUGCAGACGCGACUCGGGGCACCACCAAAACCAACAGGCAGAACUGCAGCCCUCCUAAACUCUCUCAACGCAGCUACUUAGGUGUGAGUCUACACGCUCCAUAUCGGCCAGAGACAACUGCGGCUGCAACGCAUCCGAAGAGCCGGCCCAGAUGGGCCCAUAUCACUUGCAGCUCUACGCCCUCGUUCGGUUCAUCUUUUCGGUGGAUUUAACGUUCAGCUCUGCGUCGUUAUUUUGGAGUUGCUCUCCACAGGAAGCGCCACGAUGGCUCCAGCUCAGCACACCAUCCGGCCGGCAGGAUGGUGUGCGCUAAGCUUACCGCGACGCUGCAGCUACUCCCUAGGAGACCACGAAGAAGUGUGGGCUCUCUGGGAGGCAGCUGGGAGACAUCGCAAACCUGGCACUCCAGCAGACGGACCCUUGUUUCUGUGCCCGACCACAAAAAAGUGGCACAGCACCCCUUUCAAAAUUGCAGCUGGCCACUGGGCUGAGGUUUGCUGCCGUUGGAUUCAUGCGCGAAGCCUGAGCAGAACUGAAGCCCAGCUGCUCACACAGGUCAGCAUCCCAGCGGUGGGAAUUCAGACGGCUCCUGCACUGGUGCUGCGGUCCCACUGUCAUCUCUCCCUUGCAGAGACGGGGAGACAUGCUGCAGGGAGGAGGCAGCACUGCAAUCAGCCAGCUCUUGGGGCACUGCAGGCACAGAUACCGGUGUUUCUUUUCUCAUCCUUCUGCUGAGGGAGCCUGCUGAGGGGUCACACUGAGCUGAGCUGGUGGCAGAGACCGGGAUCCUGCUCGGCAGCUUGCCAACCUGCCUGGUGGGGUCUGUGGGACCAGUUCGCCCCCAAACCUGACAUCAAGGAGAAGGACUACAGCCCUACGUGGAGCACCAGAGCCACUGCAGGAGACGUUUUGGCAGCAGUCAUGUUUCAAAUCAGUUAUCCCACAAAGGUGCUCACACAUUUCCAAAUCUAGGCAAGUCUGAGAGAGUUUCUUCAGUCUGGUUCUAUCCCAUUUCCCUGGUUCAAAGCAGGGGGAGUGAAUAAUUCAUCUCCUGCCCUCCAGUUCCCUCCCUGCUCCGGUUUCAUCNNNNNNNNNNNNNNNNNNNNNNNGCUGCUGACAAGGACAGAGCCAGCCAAUAUCAUCCAGUGACAGGACUUGUCUUUAUGGUGCUUAUUUGUAGGCUGAGAACAGUAGUAAGUGGAGCAGGGGAAAUAAUAUGUGAAUAAUGCAAAUAAUAAGAUCUCCAGACAGGUUCCACGGUACAUCUUACUUUUAGUUCCUCUUUCACUGCAUAACUUUAGCAUUUAGAUUGUCUUUAUUGUUUAUUAUUAAUUCAACAGUAGCACACAGAGGCCCUAAUUGAAUUUGGAGCUGUGUUGUACCAGGCACCAUAGAAAUACGUAUUAGGAUGCAGUCCCUGAGGAACACGCAGUCAGCUUGAGAACAUGUCCCUGCAAGAAAGAAGUUAUUUGAUGUCUUUUUAUAUCUUAAGAUAUGCAAAGAUGCAAAAGUAAUGGGUGCCAAUGUUAGCAGUGAAAUCUAUUUGAUCUUAUUAAUUUUUAAAUAAUCCAUCUUUUCAUUUCAUUUCCUCACAUUGUCUAAGUACUGCGUGCUGCAUCUUUUGCAAAGGAUGAGCAAGACUAGUCAAGCGUCUUUUGAGUUACAGGUCAUUACAGUUCUCUAUGACUACAGAGCUAUUUAAUAAGAACAAUUAAACAUUACGACAGGAUUUUCUGUUGAGGCAUGUGUUCAUUCACAACUUUGAACAAUUAAAUUAUUUUUGUGGGAAAAAAAAUCUAGCCUGUUCAAGAAGGAUGAUUGCAGUGGUUCGCGCUUUCUCAUGUUAUAUACAUCUGAAGAAUGACACUGGGAUAUCAUUGUUUUGGAUAAUGUAACAUAAGAAUCAUAGCUAAAGAUUUAUUUAAGAAGUUGCAUGUAUUUUAUUAUGUACCUCUCUUUACUUUUGAUUUUUUUACUUACAUAGACACACAGGUAGUGUUAUAUUUUAAGUGUAUACACUUGAAUUUUCAGCAAACUCUGCAAGGUAUUUUAUGUGCAAUUUUUUCCAGGGUUCUGUCUCAGAAAUUUCAUUUCAAGACUUAUUUGCUUUGAUGAGCGUUCUCUUACCUAAGGCAUUCAGGACUUCCUUUGUAUUUCCUGGCUGGCUAGUAUAUUUUGUAGGCGCAAUGGUGGAAGAAAAUCAAACAGAUCCUAAACCACUUCACAAAAUUCAGCCAAUUUGAAGCGGGCAAGACAAACUUGGUUACAUCAUGACAUCACGGACGGCACUGUAUAAAGCUGCCAUCACACUUCAGUGUCAUGGUAACAGAGCUUACAGCAACAGAGCCUGCCUUGAUUUUUUCCACUCUCAUGGAAGUUGGUGGGCAACUUAAUAGCUAGCUACACCCAUGAAGCAGGCACUGAUAUGGGCCCUUCCUUCUCCUAGGAUUGUAUUUACUGUUUGAAUAAAAACAAAAUUCAUCAUCA
rnacentral:lncRNA from 1 species